CUUUGAGCAAUAUGGCGACUAACGUGAGUGAAAACAUUGGAGUCGGUUUGUUGUGCUGAGAAAGUGUGUGAGCUCCAACAGAUGUGGUCCUUCAGAGCCUGUGUGUGUCCGGAUAAACCUGUCUGAUGGACUUUGUGCUGCUCACCUUCUUUCUGAAUGUUUUACCUCGGACUCAUCUCCCGGAAGCUACAAAGCUAACGACGCUAGCUUAGCAUGCUAGCUGCUUAGCAACAGUUUGAAGGAAAACAAACAGCGUUUUUGACGGAGUUUGUUCGGAGGGAAAGUUUCUAUCAUUGUGUGAAAAUGUCUAAAGUCCAAAUGCUGAGAGGGCUGGUGGAGCAGCGACUAACUGCGGCUGCUGAAGAGAUAUUUGGGCUGGUUGAAAGAACGAUAGCAGAGUACGAGGAGGAACUGUGUCGUUCUAAAGAGGAGCACGAGCGCCAACGGAAACGACUGGACGCUGUUUUCAGCCCUCAGCUCCGGCUGCACAGAGCAGAGCUCCCACAGCAACAUGUCUGUAAGGAGGAGGAGGUUCUCUCGGACCAGCAGCUCAACAUGCCAGUUAUAACCUCUGUGGAAUCAGAAGCAAACCGUGACCACCAGCUCCUCUCUCACAACUCUCAUGGAGCUGAGAGCCAAGAUCAGAAAGGAGGCCAGCAUGGAGACUCAGGAUCAGCUAGAAAUGCAGAGCCAGAACCAAAGAAGAGACGACGCAAGAGCAGAAGUCACAGCAACAACGUAGACAACACUAACAUGUCAGAGGUUCACUCUAAUACUCAAACAGAGCUCCCACAGCAACAUGUCUGUAAGGAGGAGGAGGUUCUCUCUGACCAGCAGCUCAACAUGCCAGUUAUAACCUCUGUGGAAUCAGAAGCAAACCGUGACCACCAGCUCCUCUCUCACAACUCUCAUGGAGCUGAGAGCCAAGACCAGAAAGGAGGCCAGCAUGGAGACUCAGGAUCAACUAGAAAUGCAGAGCCAGAACCAAAGAAGAGACGACGCAAGAGCAGAAGUCACAGCAACAACGUAGACAACACUAACAUGUCAGAAACAGAUGGCAUCUCCAAUGAAACUGCCGUCCGUCCAGGACCCUGACGUUGAGAGGGCGCGGCAGGCCCUGCAGCUGUGUGCGUAUGCUUGCAACGACCCAGCUGUUCCCCGGUACACCCUGUUCCCCCAGUUGAUGGAGGCCACAACUGGGGUGAUGACAGUGGUGUGCCGGGAACACCGGCAAAGGAAGGCGGCAGAGAGCCAUCAUAAAAGGCUGGGGAGGAGGCUGGAGAGCCUCCAAAAAGAAAAAGAAAGAGCAGAAACAAGGUAGAUAGAGAUGAUGCAGCAAUGGAGGCAGAGCCGGGAGAGGAGUGAGACCU